rnacentral:rRNA from 1 species
CUACGGGUCGCACCAGUAGGGAAUAUUGGUUAAUGGGCGAAAGCCUGAACCAGCAACGCCGCGUGUGCGAUGAAGGCCCUCGGGUCGUAAAGCACUUUUUGAGGGGAUGAGAAAGGACAGUACCCUCAGAAUAAGCCUCGGCUAACUACGUGCCAGCAGCCGCGGUAAAACGUAGGAGGCGAGCGUUAUCCGGAUUAACUGGGCGUAAAGCGCGUGCAGGCGGUUUGGUAAGUUGGAUGUGAAAGCUCCUGGCUUAACUGGGAGAGGUCGUUCAAUACUGCCGGACUAGAGAAUGGGAGAGGGAGGUGGAAUUUCAGGUGUAGUGGUGAAAUGCGUAGAUACCUGAAGGAACACCAGUGGCGAAGGCGGCCUCCUGGCCCACUUCUGACGCUCAGACGCGAAAGCUAGGGUAGCAAACGGGAUUAGAUACCCGGGUAGUC